rnacentral:rRNA from 1 species
AGUGAACGCUGGCGGUAGGCCUAACACAUGCCAGUCGAACGGCAGCACAGUAAGAGCUUGCUCUUACGGGUGGCGAGUGGCGGACGGGUGAGGAAUACAUCGGAAUCUACUUUUUCGUGGGGGAUAACGUAGGGAAACUUACGCUAAUACCGCAUACGACCUACGGGUGAAAGCAGGGGAUCUUCGGACCUUUCGCGAUUGUAUGAGCCGAUGUCGGAUUAGCUAGUUGGCGGGGUAAAGGCCCACCAAGGCGACGAUCCGUAGCUGGUCUGAGAGGAUGAUCAGCCACACUGGAACUGAGACACGGUCCAGACUCCUACGGGAGGCAGCAGUGGGGAAUAUUGGACAAUGGGCGCAAGCCUGAUCCAGCCAUGCCGCGUGGGUGAAGAAGGCCUUCGGGUUGUAAAGCCCUUUUGUUGGGAAAGAAAAGCAGCAGGUUAAUACCCCGCUGUUCUGACGGUACCCAAAGAAUAAGCACCGGCUAACUUCGUG